GGCUCGAGGACGAACGCUGGCGGCGUGCCUAACACAUGCAAGUCGAACGGAGCUAUUAUGGAAGUACCUUCGGGUGCGGAAGUUUUAGCUUAGUGGCGAACGGGUGAGUAACGCGUGAGCAACCUGCCUUUCAGAGGGGGACAACAGUUGGAAACGACUGCUAAUACCGCAUGACACAUUCGGAUGGCAUCACCUGAAUGUCAAAGAUUUUAUCGCUGAAAGAUGGCCUCGCGUCUGAUUAGCUAGUUGGUGGGGUAACGGCCCACCAAGGCGACGAUCAGUAGCCGGACUGAGAGGUUGACCGGCCACAUUGGGACUGAGAUACGGCCCAGACUCCUACGGGAGGCAGCAGUGGGGAAUAUUGGGCAAUGGACGCAAGUCUGACCCAGCAACGCCGCGUGAAGGAAGAAGGCUUUCGGGUUGUAAACUUCUUUUAAGUGGGAAGAGCAGAAGACGGUACCACUUGAAUAAGCCACGGCUAACUACGUG
rnacentral:rRNA from 1 species